UACGUAGGGUGCGAGCGUUAAUCGGAAUCACUGGGCGUAAAGCGCACGUAGGCGGACUCUUAAGUCGGUGGUGAAAUCCUGGAGCUCAACUCCAGAACUGCCUUCGAUACUGAGAGUCUCGAGUCCGGGAGAGGUGAGUGGAACUGCGAGUGUAGAGGUGAAAUUCGUAGAUAUUCGCAAGAACACCAGUGGCGAAGGCGGCUCACUGGCCCGGUACUGACGCUGAGGUGCGAAAGCGUGGGGAGCAAACAGG
rnacentral:rRNA from 1 species